UAAAUUCCUAGGGGAAUGUUAGUAACAUUUUCUCUAACUUUCUCUCUUUCCCUCAUGACAUGUGUCAUUUUUGUUACACUUAAACCAAUGUUGUUAAUACAUAAGACAACCUAGCUUUUGUUUCCAAGUUUACCCUUAUGCCUUAAAUAUAUUGACACUUGACAUGGUUAAGUCCAAUUUUUUUUUAAAAAAAACAAAAAACUAAUCUUAUCUCUCUCCUUGAUCUUCAUCCCCACCCCUCACCCACCUUCUUCCCAAUCCCCACCUACUGCAACCCCCAACCCACACACCCAAAAAAAAAAUUCUCAAUACACCCAAUCCUCCCCACAAGUCCCUCCACUCAUCUAUCUCUUUUCCUUAUUGGAAGACCCACCGAAAACCCACCAGAUCCUUGCAUCUCAAAGCAUUAAAUCAGGUUUGAGAGUGAUCAUGAUUAUAGGAUGGCUUGUAUUCCCCAACCUCAAAUUAUCAAACGAUAUCAUUAAAUUUCAAAGUUUGGGUAAAUUCCAGAUAUAAUUUGGGUAAAUCCAAAUUUCAAAUUUCAAAGUUUCAACCUUUUAGCAAGAAUGGGUUGUGAUUGGGCUGCUAGAGGUGGGUAAGGAUGGGUGACUAUUGGGUGAGAGUGGAGGGGUGGAGAGGGGUAGGGUCGGGGCCAAAUUUCUAGGGAAGAAGGGGCGAGCAGAAGAAAGAGAGAGGAAGAGGCGGGAGGAGAGAGAGAGAGAGUCAAAACCCGUACAAACGUUUAGUUUUUAUUAUGGGCAUAUAUGGAAAUAUAAUUAAUAUAUUUUUUGUACUUAAUGACAUUUUUUAAAUUAAGAAAUAAAUGACACAUAUCAUCAAGAGAAGGGAGAAGAUCCAAAGGAGAAGGUUGCUAGAAUUCCCCAAAUUCCUAUUUCUAUUUACAGAGGAAAUCAGGAGUUAAAGUAAAUCAAAUACAAUUAUAAUGAGAAUCCCUGGUGUGUAAGGAAAGAAAGUCAAUGGUCCACAAGUCACGCCAACAUGCCCCACAUCCUUGUGGGGACCACUCCACAUUGUAUUUUAAUCAUUCAAACUAUCUAUUUUUUAGGUAUUCCUUCAAAAAUCUCUUUGCCCCCCAAAAAAAAACACACUCAAAUCUAAAUACCAAUUAAAUUGUUACCACUUUAAAGUAUUCUUUAAACAAUGUGUUCGUCAAUUUUGUUGAUCACAACUAGAUGUCCUAAUGGUUUUCAAUUUUCAAAUUUUUUCAAAGGAUGAUCUUUGAAUGAGACUUUAAAACAUAUUUGCAUUGUUGAAGUGAAAUUAUAGUGGUGUCCGCGCUAGAAUAAUAUUAUAAAAAUUAUAGUAAAUUUGGCAUACCCCCUCCAAAUUGAAUUUUGCUUAACUGCAAUCUAUCACUUUUUGUUCAAAUUACUAAAAUCCACUAGCCUCUCCGCAAGCGUUUCCGCGCCUGCGAGAGGCUUUUUUUUAAAAAAAUUUAAAUUUAUUUUAGAAUUAAAAAAGAUAAUGGGUAGUUGUGUUCCAUUAAAAUAGAAUUCAUUAUUUGAUUUAAAUUUGAAUUUAAAUUUUG
rnacentral:lncRNA from 1 species